ensembl:lncRNA
AGACAAUAGAAAUUGGCGUGCAUAAGUGUAAGAAUACCAUAGCUUCCCUUUAUGCUCCUGCAGUUUAACUAAUGAUGGUAUUGAAGAAGGUGUCUUUGUCCUCUGCAGCCUGCAUUCCAAACAAAUUAGAUACAUAACAUCUGAGACUACCUCUCAGCAUUAGUAAGACGUCCCACACAUAUUGACACAUAUUGAUUGUCUGCUUCACACUUUGUUUGUUAGGAUCUGAUUGCUCAAGAAAGCAGAAGUUGUAAAAGCUUAACAGUUGAAUUAAGAAAACUGCGACUCUGUGAGUGAGCCCUUCACUGUGUCCCCAACAACACACCAGUGUAGACUAGAUCAAAUAAACAGUUCCUGAGAAAAGCCAGAGGUUUAUAAUAAGAUAGUCGUCAAACAGGUGACGUGCAAGCAGUUCUGGUGAUACUUUGUCUUUGUGCCUAAAAGGUGGGAAGUACUUCAAGGACUGUCCAGGAAUUCCCUUCAUCCCUAUUUAUCUUUGUGGACCCAUCUUUGCCUUCAUUGCAUUGUGUAUGUACGGGUCAUGCAACCUGCCUUGUUGGUCCGUGACCACUCUCUUCUUCAUUUGCUGGUAUAUUGCUG